rnacentral:rRNA from 1 species
UACGAAGGGGGCUAGCGUUGCUCGGAAUCACUGGGCGUAAAGGGUGCGUAGGCGGAUUUCUAAGUCAGGGGUGAAAGCCUGAGGCUCAACCUCAGAACUGCCUUUGAUACUGGAAGUCUUGAGACCGGAAGAGGUAAGUGGAACUGCGAGUGUAGAGGUGAAAUUCGUAGAUAUUCGCAAGAACACCAGUGGCGAAGGCGGCUUACUGGUCCGGUUCUGCACGCUGAGGCACGAAAGCGUGGGGAGCAAACAGG